rnacentral:rRNA from 1 species
CCUACGGGGGGCAGCAGUGGGGAAUAUUGGACAAUGGGGGGAACCCUGAUCCAGCGACGCCGCGUGAGUGAAGAAGUAUUUCGGUAUGUAAAGCUCUAUCAGCAGGGAAGAAAGAAAUGACGGUACCUGACUAAGAAGCCCCGGCUAACUACGUGCCAGCAGCCGCGGUAAUACGUAGGGGGCAAGCGUUAUCCGGAUUUACUGGGUGUAAAGGGAGCGUAGACGGCGAUGCAAGUCUGAAGUGAAAGGCGGGGGCCCAACCCCUGGACUGCUUUGGAAACUGUAUGGCUGGAGUGCAGGGGAGGUAAGUGGAAUUCGUAGUGUAGCGGUGAAAUGCGUAGAUAUGAGGAGGAACACCAGUGGCGAAGGCGGCUUACUGGACUGUAACUGACGUUGAGGCUCGAAAGCGUGGGGAGCAAACAGGAUUAGAUACCCUAGUAGUC